rnacentral:rRNA from 1 species
UACGGAAGGCAGCAGUGGGGAAUAUUGCACAAUGGGCGCAAGCCUGAUGCAGCCAUGCCGCGUGUAUGAAGAAGGCCUUCGGGUUGUAAAGUACUUUCAGUCGUGAGGAAGGUGUUAAGGUUAAUAACCUUAGCAAUUGACGUUAGCGACAGAAGAAGCACCGGCUAACUCCGUGCCAGCAGCCGCGGUAAUACGGAGGGUGCGAGCGUUAAUCGGAAUUACUGGGCGUAAAGGGCACGCAGGCGGUUAAUUAAGUUGGAUGUGAAAUCCCCGGGCUUAACCUGGGAAUGGCAUUCAAGACUGGUUAGCUAGAGUCUUGUAGAGGGGGUUAGAAUUCCAUGUGUAGCGGUGAAAUGCGUAGAGAUGUGGAGGAAUACCGGUGGGCGAAGGCGGCCCCUGGGACAAAGGACUGACGCUCAUGUGCGAAAGCGUGGGGAGCAAACAGGGAUUAGAU